CAGUCUCAGUUCGGAUUNAAGGCUGAAAUUCGCCUUCAUGAAGCCGGAAUUGCUAGUAAUGGCAGGUCAGCAUACUGCCGUGAAUACGUUCCCGGGCCUUGUACACACCGCCCGUCACACCAUGAGAGUUGGGAAUACCCGAAGCCUGUGAGCUAACUUUUAGAGGCAGCAGUCGAAGGUAGAAUCAAUGAUUGGGGUGAAGUCGUAACAAGGUAGC
rnacentral:rRNA from 1 species